rnacentral:rRNA from 1 species
UACGUAGGGUGCGAGCGUUGUCCGGAAUUAUUGGGCGUAAAGAGCUCGUAGGCGGUGUGUCACGUCGGCCGUGAAAACCUGCAGCUUAACUGUGGGCGUGCGGUCGAUACGGGCAUCACUGGAGUUCGGCAGGGGAGACUGGGAUUCCUGGUGUAGCGGUGAAAUGCGCAGAUAUCAGGAGGAACACCGAUGGCGAAGGCAGGUCUCUGGGCAUUAACUGACGCUGAGGAGCGAAAGCAUGGGGAGCGAACAGG